AUGCACGCUGGCGGCGUGCCUAAUCCCUGCAAGUCGAGCGAACAGAUGAGGAGCUUGCUCCUCUGACGUUAGCGGCGGACGGGUGAGUAACACGUGGAUAACCUACCUAUAAGACUGGGAUAACUUCGGGAAACCGGAGCUAAUACCGGAUAAUAUAUUGAACCGCAUGGUUCAAUAGUGAAAGACGGUUUUGCUGUCACUUAUAGAUGGAUCCGCGCCGCAUUAGCUAGUUGGUAAGGUAACGGCUUACCAAGGCGACGAUGCGUAGCCGACCUGAGAGGGUGAUCGGCCACACUGGAACUGAGACACGGUCCAGACUCCUACGGGAGGCAGCAGUAGGGAAUCUUCCGCAAUGGGCGAAAGCCUGACGGAGCAACGCCGCGUGAGUGAUGAAGGUCUUCGGAUCGUAAAACUCUGUUAUUAGGGAAGAACAAAUGUGUAAGUAACUAUGCACGUCUUGACGGUACCUAAUCAGAAAGCCACGGCUAACUACGUG
rnacentral:rRNA from 1 species